rnacentral:rRNA from 1 species
CCUACGAGUGGCAGCAGUGAGGAAUAUUGGUCAAUGGGCGCGAGCCUGAACCAGCCAAGUAGCGUGAAGGAUGACUGCCCUACGGGUUGUAAACUUCUUUUAUAAAGGAAUAAAGUGAGGCACGUGUGCCUUUUUGUAUGUACUUUAUGAAUAAGGAUCGGCUAACUCCGUGCCAGCAGCCGCGGUAAUACGGAGGAUCCGAGCGUUAUCCGGAUUUAUUGUGUUUAAAGGGAGCGUAGAUGGGUUGUUAAGUCAGUUGUGAAAGUUUGCGGCUCAACCGUAAAAUUGCAAUUGAUCAUGGCAGCCUUGAGUACAGUUGAGGUAGGCGGAAUUCGUGGUGUAGCGGUG